UACGGGGGGUGCUAGCGUUAUUCGGAAUCAUUGAGCGUAAAGGGCGCGUAGGCGGUCUCUUAAGUCAGAUGUGAAAGCCCUCGGCUUAACCGAGGAAGUGCAUUUGAUACUAAGAGACUUGAGUAUGGGAGAGGGAAGCGGAAUUCCUGGUGUAGCGGUGAAAUGCGUAGAUAUCAGGAGGAACACCGGUGGCGAAGGCGGCUUCCUGGACCAAUACUGACGCUGAGGCGCGAAGGCGUGGGGAGCAAACAGG
rnacentral:rRNA from 1 species